GAUGAACGCUGGCGGCGUGCUUAACACAUGCAAGUCGAACGGUGAACACGGAGCUUGCUCUGUUGGAUCAGUGGCGAACGGGUGAGUAACACGUGAGCAACCUGCCCCUGACUCUGGGAUAAGCGCUGGAAACGGCGUCUAAUACUGGAUAUGUGACGUGACCGCAUGGUCUGCGUUUGGAAAGAUUUUUCGGUUGGGGAUGGGCUCGCGGCCUAUCAGCUUGUUGGUGAGGUAAUGGCUCACCAAGGCGUCGACGGGUAGCCGGCCUGAGAGGGUGACCGGCCACACUGGGACUGAGACACGGCCCAGACUCCUACGGGAGGCAGCAGUGGGGAAUAUUGCACAAUGGGCGCAAGCCUGAUGCAGCAACGCCGCGUGAGGGAUGACGGCCUUCGGGUUGUAAACCUCUUUUAGCAGGGAAGAAGCGAAAGUGACGGUACCUGCAGAAAAAGCGCCGGCUAACUACGCG
rnacentral:rRNA from 1 species